rnacentral:lncRNA from 1 species
UUAAACAGUUUAUAUGAAUCCCAACUGUAAAACACGUGCAUUCAUCUUCUUUCCAAUGUAUCAAGUCCCUUUCCAUGAAAUCAAACAUGGGAUCCUCUUCAUUUUGUCUAACCAUACUUUAGAAUUUAAGAUUUAUACUAAACAACAAUUAAUAAUAAUGUAAAGCAUGCACGCGCGCGCGAAAUCCAUUCUCCAUUUAUUGGUACGUACUAUAUCUAUCCAUUCAGCUUGCGCCGCUUGCCAAGGCG